rnacentral:tRNA from 1 species
UCCCAGGUAGCUCAGAUGGUAAAGAAUCUGCCUGCAAUGUGGAAGACCUGGGUUCAAUCCCUGGCUUGGGAA